rnacentral:rRNA from 1 species
CAGCAGCCGCGGUAAUACAAAGGAUGCAAGCGUUAUCCGGAAUGAUUGGGCGUAAAGCGUCUGUAGGUGGCCUUUCAAGUCCGUCGUCAAAUCUCAGGGCUCAACCCUGGACAGGCGGUGGAAACUACCAAGCUGGAGUACGGUAGGGGCGGAGGGAAUUUUCGGUGGAGCGGUGAAAUGCGUUGAGAUCGGAAAGAACACCAACGGCGAAAGCACUCUGCUGGGCCGACACUGACACUGAGAGACGAAAGCUAGGGGAGCAAAUGGGAUUAGAUACCCCAGUAGUCCCUGUCUCUUAUAA